GACGAACGCUGGCGGCGUGCUUAACACAUGCAAGUCGAACGGUGAAGCGCCUUCCUUUUUGGUGGGUGUGGAUGAGUGGCGAACGGGUGAGUAACACGUGAGUAACCUGCCCCCUUCUUCUGGAUAACCGCAUGAAAGUGUGGCUAAUACGGGAUAUUCUGGGUCUGUCGCAUGAUGGGUCUGGGAAAGAUAUUGUUUCGGUGGGGGAUGGGCUCGCGGCCUAUCAGCUUGUUGGUGGGGUGAUGGCCUACCAAGGCGGUGACGGGUAGCCGGCCUGAGAGGGUGGACGGUCACACUGGGACAGAGACACGGCCCAGACUCCUACGAGAGGCAGCAGUGGGGAAUAUUGCACAAUGGGCGCAAGCCUGAUGCAGCGACGCCGCGUGAGGGAUGGAGGCCUUCGGGUUGUGAACAUCUUUCGCCAGUGAAGCAGGCCUGCCUCGUUUGUGGGUGGGUUGACGGUAGCUGGAUAAGAAGCGCCGGCUAACUACGUG
rnacentral:rRNA from 1 species